CACAUCAAAAUUUUAAUAUCAGUUAAUUCAUCACAAUUAGCUUCUCAUUAUAACAAAUUCUGUGUUUUUCAUGAAGUCAAACAGAAAAUGAGAAGAACUUGACAAGAAUUCGCCUUCCGAAGGAUGCUCAAAUCCUGAAUCUACAAUGGCUCGAAGAAGCUCCGGCUUUAGAAGGAAAUCUCUGAAUCCUGAGCUGUGAAUUCCAACAUAGCCCCUACAUAACAGAGGAAACAAAGAAUAAAGACAUGGAGAAUGCUAUCAAAAGCAAUUUCAAGACAGAAAGCUCAAUCAAUAGCAAGGUCUCUUUUCUUGGUGUCUAGGCCAAAAUGGGCAUGACAGACGAGUUUGAAGCUUCUUUACAAGUACUAUGGGGAUUUGAUACUGACAUUUCUUUUGAAGUGAAUGAAAUCAAGAGAUCUGUAACUUCCACAAGCAGGAGAACAACCAUCUGAUUUUCUGAUCUCAAGCAAAGAAGAUAUUAGUUUCCAUUCCAUGAUA